rnacentral:rRNA from 1 species
AGAGUUUGAUCAUGGCUCAGAACGAACGCUGGCGGCAGGCUUAACACAUGCAAGUCGAACGCUCGUAGCAAUACGGGAGUGGCAGACGGGUGAGUAACGCGUGGGAACAUACCCUCCGGUUCGGAAUAGCUCAGGGAAACUUGGAUUAAUACCGGAUACGGCUGAGAGGCGAAAGAUUUAUCGCCGGAGGAUUGGCCCGCGUUCGAUUAGCUUGUUGGUGAGGUAACGGCUCACCAAGGCGAUGAUCGAUAGCUGGUCUGAGAGGAUGAUCAGCCACAUUGGGACUGAGACACGGCCCAAACUCCUACGGGAGGCAGCAGUGGGGAAUAUUGGACAAUGGGCGCAAGCCUGAUCCAGCCAUGCCGCGUGAGUGAUGACGGCCUUAGGGUUGUAAAGCUCUUUCGCUCGGGACGAUAAUGACGGUACCGAGAUAAGAAGCCCCGGCUAACUUCGUGCCAGCAGCCGCGGUAAUACGAAGGGGGCUAGCGUUGUUCGGAAUUACUGGGCGUAAAGCGCGUGUAGGCGGGUCUUUAAGUCAGGGGUGAAAUGCCAAGGCUCAACCUUGGAACUGCCUUUGAUACUGGAGAUCUUGAGUCCGGGAGAGGUGAGUGGAAUUGCGAGUGUAGAGGUGAAAUUCGUAGAUAUUCGCAAGAACACCAGUGGCGAAGGCGGCUCACUGGCCCGGAACUGACGCUGAGACGCGAAAGCGUGGGGAGCAAACAGGAUUAGAUACCCUAGUAGUCC